rnacentral:rRNA from 1 species
CCUACGGGAGGCUGCAGUAGGGAAUCUUCCACAAUGGGCGAAAGCCUGAUGGAGCAACGCCGCGUGGGUGAAGAAGGUCUUCGGAUCGUAAAACCCUGUUGUUAGAGAAGAACGUGCGUGAGAGUAACUGUUCACGUCUCGACGGUAUCUAACCAGAAAGCCACGGCUAACUACGUGCCAGCAGCCGCGGUAAUACGUAGGUGGCAAGCGUUAUCCGGAUUUAUUGGGCGUAAAGGGAACGCAGGCGGUCUUUUAAGUCUGAUGUGAAAGCCUACGGCUUAACCGGGGUAGUGCAUUGGAAACUGGGAGACUUGAGUGCAGAAGAGGAGAGUGGAACUCCAUGUGUAGCGGUGAAAGGCGUAGAGAUAUGGAGGAACACCAGUGGCGAAGGCGACUCUCUGGUCUGUAACUGACGCUGAGGUUCGAAAGCGUGGGGAGCAAACAGGAUUAGAUACCCCGGUAGUC